GUAGCGGUGAAAUGCGUAGAGAUCUGAAGGAAUACCAGUGGCGAAGGCGGCCACCUGGACAAAGACUGACACUGAGGCGCGAAGGCGUGGGGAGCAAACGGGAUUAGAUACCCCGGUAGUCCACGCAGUAAACGAUGUCUAUUAGAAGUUUGUGGCUAUAUGCCGUGGGUUUCAAAGCUAACGCAUUAAAUAGACCGCCUGGGGAGUACGGCCGCAAGGUUAAAACUCAAAUGAAUUGACGGGGGCCCGCACAAGCGGUGGAGCAUGUGGUUUAAUUCGAUGCAACGCGAAGAACCUUACCAUCCCUUGACAUCCAGAGAAUCACCUAGGGAUAGAUGAGUGCCUUCGGGAACUCUGAGACAGGUGCUGCAUGGCUGUCGUCAGCUCGUGUUGUGAAAUGUUGGGUUAAGUCCCGCAACGAGCGCAACCCUUAUCCUUAGUUGCCAGCACGUAAUGGUGGGAACUCUAGGGAGACUGCCGGUGAUAAACCGGAGGAAGGUGGGGACGACGUCAAGUCAUCAUGGCCCUUACGGGAUGGGCUACACACGUGCUACAAUGGCAAAUACAAAGGGUUGCUAACCUGCGAGGGUAUGCGAAUCUCAUAAAGUUUGUCGUAGUCCGGAUCGGAGUCUGCAACUCGACUCCGUGAAGUUGGAAUCGCUAGUAAUCGUGGAUCAGAAUGCCACGGUGAAUACGUUCCCGGGCCUUGUACACACCGCCCGUCACACCAUGGGAGUGGGCUGCACCAGAAGUCAUUAGCUUAACCUUCGGGAUGGCGAUGACCACGGUGUGGUUCAUGACUGGGGUGAA
rnacentral:rRNA from 1 species